GGGUGCCCAGGCGCGAAAACUUUGCAAUACACGAAAGUGUGACAGGGUCAUCCCGAGUGCCGACCGCUGAGGUUGGCUUUUACCCAGUCUAGAAAGCUGGGGGAAUAAGGAGAGGGCAAGUCUGGUGUCAGCCGCCGCGGUAAUACCAGCUCUCCGAGUGGUGUGGACGUUUAUUGGGCCUAAAGCAUCCGUAGCUGGCUGAACAAGUCCCCUGUUAAACCCACCGAUUUAAUCGUUGGUCUGCGGGGGAUACUGCUCGGCUAGGGGACGAGAGAGGCAGACGGUAUUCCCGGGGUAGGGGUGAAAUCCUAUAAUCCCGAGAAGACCACCAGUGGCGAAGGCUGUCUGCUAGAACGCGCCCGACGGUGAGGGAUGAAAGCUGGGGGAGCGAACCGGAUUAGAUACCCGGGUAGUCCCAGCUGUAAACGAUGCAGACUAGGUGUUUGGACGGCCACGUGCCGUUCUAGUGCCGCAGGGAAGCUGUUAAGUCUGCCGCCUGGGGAGUACGAUCGCAAGAUUGAAACUUAAAGGAAUUGGCGGGGGAGCAC
rnacentral:rRNA from 1 species